rnacentral:lncRNA from 1 species
AUCUUCCUUCAGUAAACUCACAAAAACCCGAAUGAAACUUUUUCACUAAAAGUUCCUUUUAUAUCUCAAAGAAAGUUAGCCAACAACUUGACUCCCUCUCUCUCCCUUUCCCUUUAUUUGGCGGGCCCCUUUGUGUUGUUUGGGCUUUUGGGCUUUUAUCAUUUCAAGUCAUCCUAUGCUUGAAUAAAAGGACCCAAUGGGUUUGGGCCCAAUAGGCCCAAAUGAACCCGAACUUUUCUUUAAGCCCAAAACGAUCUUUUAUCGCUUUUAUGAUUUCUUAGACUUUCUAAUUAAUCACAACACUUAAUUAAUUCAAUUAAUUAUUUCCAUCAUCCAUUAGUUGUCUCACUACAAGAGUGUAUCAGUGUACAAUCAUUUUAGGUUCUAAUUAGCAAGGCAGUGAGGUGAUUGGCACCAAUCCAAUUGAUUAUAU